rnacentral:ncRNA from 7 species
UCAGUUAUCACAGUGCUGAUGC